AUUAAGGACAAUCAAAUCAAUCUAUGUCUUGGAUGAUAUCUUCACCAUAUCAAUUAAGGAACAAAGGUAUCUCCAACACUCCCCCCUCAAGCUGGUGGCUUGUAUACAUCAAGAACACCUAGCUUGCUUAGUAGAUACCUGUGUUGCCUCUGACAUAAAGGCUUAGUGAAGAUAUCCGCAGGUUGUUCUGUAGUUCUUAUUCCCAUUGUCUUGAUCACUCCAUCCUGGAUUUUGUCUCUGAUGAAAUGGCAAUCAACUUCUAUAUGCUUUGUUCUUUCAUGAAAAACUGGAUUCACUGCCAAUUUAAGUGCAGCAUCGUUGUCACAAAAUAGAGUUGUUGGUUCCUUUACCCAUAUACCAAGAUCUCGAAGUAAUCCUCUUAUCCAGACAACUUCGCAGCUAGUCUUUGCCAUUGCUCUAUAUUCUGCUUCAGCGGAUGAUAAUGAAACAGUCGAUUGUUUCUUUGUCUUCCAUGAGAGUAGUGAGUUUCCUAGUUUGACGCAGAAACCCGUCACUGAUUUUCUGCUCAUAGGGCAAGUAGCAUAAUCUGUAUCACAAUAUGCCGUCAUUUCCAUGUUGUUUUCCCGCGACAAUAAAAUGCCCAAUCCAGGACACCCUUUUAGGUACUUCACUACUUUUAAUGCAGCAUUCAUAUGAGAUUGUUUUGGAUCAUGCAUGAAUUGACUAAGAAUUUGCACGGCAUAGCAUAUAUCAGGUCUGGUCAUGGUGAGGUAGAUGAGCUUUCCAACAAGUCUCUGGUAUGCUGAUGGAUUUUUGAGUAAUGGGUCCUCAUUCAAUGGUGACAACUCUUUGUCAUAUUCGGCAGUUGUCAACUUGGCAUUCUGCUCAAUUGGAAUGACAGUUGGUUUGGUACCGGAUAGUCCUGCUUCUGAUAUAAUUUCUAAGACAAAUUUGCGCUGACUGAGACAAAUUCCUUUAUCUGAUCGUGCAAUUUCAAUCCCGAGAAAAUAUUUGGGAGGUCCCAAAUCUUUAAUGUGAAAAGUAGAAUGCAGCUGUGAGUGCAUUUGUAAAUUUUGCAUACCACUGACGAGAUGCCUGUUUGAGUCCAUAUAAGGAUUUGCGGAGACGACAUACUCGAUUCUCCCCCUGUCUCCGUAAUCCUGGUGGAAGAUCCAUAUAAAUUUCUUCUUCUAGAUCCCCAUGAAGGAAAGCAUUAUGAACAUCCAUCUGAUGCAGAGGCCAAUCACGAAGAGCAGCAAUGGAAAGAAAAGAACGAACAGUGACUUCCUUGGCUACUGGGGAAAAUGUCUCCUGAUAAUCGAAACCUUCUCUCUGUGUGAAUCCCUUGGCCACUAGCCUAGCCUUAUAUCGUUCAACUGAACCAUCUGCCUUGUAUUUUAUUUUGUACACCCAUUUACACCCAAUGGGUCGCCGGUGGGGUGGUAAGCUGACAAAAUCCCAAGUCUUAUUCUCCA